rnacentral:tRNA from 1 species
GGAGAGGUGACUGAGUGGUUGAAAGUGCACGAUUGGAAAUCGUGUAGGGGGUUAAAGCCUCCUCGAGGGUUCGAAUCCCUCCCUCUCCGCCA